rnacentral:rRNA from 1 species
GAUGAACGCUGGCGGCGUGCCUAAUACAUGCGAGUAGAACGCACAGUUUAUACCGUAGCUUGCUACACCAUAGACUGUGAGUUGCGAACGGGUGAGUAACGCGUAGGUAACCUGCCUGGUAGCGGGGGAUAACUAUUGGAAACGAUAGCUAAUACCGCAUAAUAUUGAUUAUUGCAUGAUAAUUGAUUGAAAGAUGCUAUUGCAUCACUACCAGAUGGACCUGCGUUGUAUUAGCUAGUAGGUGAGGUAACGGCUCACCUAGGCGACGAUACAUAGCCGACCUGAGAGGGUGAUCGGCCACACUGGGACUGAGACACGGCCCAGACUCCUACGGGAGGCAGCAGUAGGGAAUCUUCGGCAAUGGACGAAAGUCUGACCGAGCAACGCCGCGUGAGUGAAGAAGGUUUUCGGAUCGUAAAGCUCUGUUGUAAGAGAAGAACGGGUGUGAGAGUGGAAAGUUCACACUGUGACGGUAUCUUACCAGAAAGGGACGGCUAACUACGUG